UUAAGGGAUUUUGGGAUUUUAAGAUUUUAGGCUUGGGAAUUUAACCUAGGGUGCUCGGGGUUGAGUCUUUUACCAUAUUUGGUGAAGUUCAAUGUUCCGAGUACUAGAACUUGGCUUGGAAGCUCAUUUAAGGUUGUUAAUGGUGUCUUUCUUCAUGGUUGUGACUAGGUGUUAAGCUAGGGCUCGAGGAUCGGAUCGCGCUCAAGGAGUAUCGCCCGUAACUAACUCAUCUGAAAGCUAAAGGUAAGAAAACUGCACCUGGUUGAUUAUAUGAGACGGGACUAAGGGCUCCCUAUUGUAAAAGCUUGAAAGGAUGGUAUUAUGCCAUGCAAGCCAUUUAGUGAACCAACGGCCUAAGGGUGCCAAGGGUCUCACUAGCGCACAGGGCGCGGCUCGGCCACUGGUAGCCGAGGACAGCUUAUUAUGCACUGAGCUUGGUUUAAGCGGGCCAGAGUCAGUGGGUUAAACAGAGGGCGCGGCCUAAGUCGUCGGCUCUAAUUAUUAUGUGAUAUGAGCAGUAUAUGUGGUAGAAUAUAUCUUGUAUUGGAUUGUAUAUGCUGAUUAUCUGUUGUGGACUAUCUAGUAAAGGCAAGGGCAAGUUAGAUCAGCCCUGACUGGAGAGCUCGGCGAGCGGAAUGUACAUAGGCAGGUGCUCGGCCGCCACGGUUGAGGUCUAGGCAAGGACAUGGAACCUAAAGACUGUCUGUUUUGCCUUAGUAUGGCUAGUGGAUACUUAUGUACUUUUGGAAGUCUGUAAACUUAUUUUAACUUUGUGUUUAUGGGAUCCCUUGUUUAUUACAGUUUAAAUAUAUGAAAUGAGUCUUUUGAGACCGAAACCUUUUUAACCAUAGAUCUUACAUGUCUAGUGACACGUUUUCAAAUCGAUGACUUGACUAGCGAGUCCUGCACCUUUAUAAGUACACAGUGUAGCGGUCUUAGCUAUCCAGGGCGUUACAACUUGGUAUCAGAGCGUCCUAGGUUUACGGGUUCCUGAAGACAGCCUGGAUAUGUACAUUCGCUGCUGGAGACAAGCUCAAGUUGGGGUUUGGUAAUGUGUAUAUGUGUGCUUAUGUGCUUAUGUACCUGAGAUGAGUUAUGCAUGAUGUUAUUGACUGAAUUGCUAGGAAGCAUGAGAUACUGAUAGGGCCUGGCCCUUGACUGCUGUGUGAUGGUAAAGGCAAGGGCAAGUUAGAUCAGCCCUGACUGGAGAGCUCGGCGAGCAGAAUGUACAUAGCCAGGUGCUCGACCGCCACGGUUGAGGUCUAGGCAAGGACAUGGAACCUAAAGACUAUCUGUUUUGCCUUAGUAUGGCUAGUGGAUACUUAUGUACUUUUGGAAGUCUGUAAACUUAUUUUAACUUUGUGUUUAUGGGAUCCCUUGUUUAUUACAGUUUAAAUAUAUGAAAUGAGUCUUUUGAGACCGAAA